AUCAGCCGACCGAGGAGCACAUUCAAUUUAGAUAAACACCAUUGCGUUGAGGCCGACUGAUUAUCUAUCAAAGUCUCGAUCGACAAGGAUUUUCGAGUCUUUGUUGGUAGAGGCCAUCUCAUUAUCCUUCUCGGCUAAGUGAGGUGUUACAAAUUACUGCGCUCGGCACAUUGAACGCCGUGUUGUUUAUGAUUAGAUAUUCACAAAUAAGUUUUAUAGUUCAGCAUUCUGACGACUGAACCACAUUUACCAUUAUGACAUAUAUCUCUUUCGAGUAUUUGUGUUCGUAUAGUUUGGUGCAAGUUCGGCGUGCUUAUACUCUUACGAAUAUAAUCACCGUGACCAAACCUGGUGCCAAUGAUCCGUGAACUUCGUAAGACUAGCAACCUUGUCUUCAGGCUCUAGAAACCGAAGGCCGAGACUUGUUCCUUUCUUAGCCGCAGUCGCAAGAUCGAGAAGUUAGUAACAAAACAUCAACGUAUUUUACUUCCCAGCUAAGCUCGGCCGACGAGUUGGCAUGCCCGCACACAACUGAAAGACGUAAUUAGCUUUUUAAUUACUCGGCAUGCACGUCACGUAGGCUUGGUAGUUUUUAGGGUCAACAUGGUGAAAUGCCGAUUUUGUCCUUGAACUAUCAUCUUAGAAAAAAUUUAAUCCCUGAAUUAUUUUUUUCAAUAAAAUAAGUCCCUAAAUUCAUUAAAAAUUGCAAUUUCAUACCUAUUAUUAUAUUCAAAACUAUUUUAUCUAAUUUUUCGUCACUUGAUGUCACUUGACAAACUUCAGAGUGUAAUACCGUCAUUUUCUCACCUAUAAUCCCUUAAAUUUUCAUAUAGGUUUAGAAUCUAACGUCUAAUUUACCCUCUCAAAUUAACUCCUUACACUAUUUCUUUAUGUAAAAUUACCAAUCUACCCUCACAUGUGUAUCGCAUACAAGUAACGUGACUUAAAUCGACAUAAAAUUAAAUAUAUUAGUUUCGAAUAUUAAUUGGCAUAUUUUAUAAUUCAAGGGCUCUGAUUUUACUGAAA
rnacentral:lncRNA from 1 species